rnacentral:rRNA from 1 species
GUGAGUAACCUGCCCUUGACUCUGGGAUAAGCGUUGGAAACGACGUCUAAUACCGGAUACGAGCUUCCACCGCAUGGUGAGUUGCUGGAAAGAAUUUUGGUCAAGGAUGGACUCGCGGCCUAUCAGCUUGUUGGUGAGGUAACGGCUCACCAAGGCGACGACGGGUAGCCGGCCUGAGAGGGUGACCGGCCACACUGGGACUGAGACACGGCCCAGACUCCUACGGGAGGCAGCAGUGGGGAAUAUUGCACAAUGGGCGAAAGCCUGAUGCAGCAACGCCGCGUGAGGGACGACGGCCUUCGGGUUGUAAACCUCUUUUAGCAGGGAAGAAGCGAAAGUGACGGUACCUGCAGAAAAAGCACCGGCUAACUACGUGCCAGCAGCCGCGGUAAUACGUAGGGUGCAAGCGUUGUC